rnacentral:rRNA from 1 species
GUGGAUUAGAUACCCUGGUAGUCCACGCCCUAAACGAUGCGAACUGGAUGUUGGGUUCAACUUGGAACCCAGUAUCGAAGCUAACGCGUUAAGUUCGCCGCCUGGGGAGUACGGUCGCAAGACUGAAACUCAAAGGAAUUGACGGGGGCCCGCACAAGCGGUGGAGUAUGUGGUUUAAUUCGAUGCAACGCGAAGAACCUUACCUGGUCUUGACAUCCACGGAACUUUCCAGAGAUGGAUUGGUGCCUUCGGGAACCGUGAGACAGGUGCUGCACGGCCGUCGCCAAAU